CAGCAAACAAGCUUCAUUUGCACAAAAAUGGAGUUGGAACCAAGACUUCUCUGCGACUUCUCGCAAUUGGAGGGUGCGACAACCUACAAGAUCUAUUCGAACAGCCAUCGUGCCUCGUACGCCUUGAAACCCUUAAAGGGAGUGGAAUUCAGGCUUCGUAGAUUCACAAUCAGAGAGCUUCCAAAAGUGAAUAAACUGCCCGAAUG
rnacentral:misc_RNA from 1 species